rnacentral:rRNA from 1 species
UACGUAGGGGCAAGCGUUGUCCGGAUUUAUUGGGCGUAAAGAGCGUGUAGGCGGUUGGGUAGGUCCGUUGUGAAAACUCGAGCUCAACCUCGAGACGCCGAUGGAAACCCCUGACUAGAGUCCGGAAGAGGAGAGUGGAAUUCCUGGUGUAGCGGUGAAAUGGCGCAGAUAUCAGGAAGAACACCCGUGGCUAAGGCGGCUCUCUAGUACGGUACUGACGCUGAGACGCGAAAGCGUGGGGAGCGAACAGG